rnacentral:lncRNA from 1 species
GCCGGGUCUGCGCUCUGGGACGCCAUGAGGGAAUAGUCCCUCUGUCCCCACGCCACGAGGGGAUCGUCUCGUCAUCCCCACGCCAUGAAGUGAUCAUUCCUCCAUCCUCAAGCCAUGAGAGAAUCAUCUCGUCAGCCCCGGGCCAUGAGAGGAUCGUCCCUCUAUCCCCUUGCUAUAAGGGAAUUAUCCCCAUGCCACGAGGGGAUAUCAUCCAUGAGGGCCUUGUCCCGACAUACCCACAGCCUGGUCCUCCUGCCCUCUGUGUCCCUGGCACCCUCAGACCCUUCAUUAUGACCAGAGCCAUCAAAAGAAUGGGGUAAAUCCCUUAAAAGUCCUCUCAACACUCUACACAGAAAAAAUAUGGGACUCUGAGGGCAAGUCAGAAUGCCCACCUCAGGUGGCGCUUGCCCAUGCCAGCCAUUCCCUCACCAUUCCUCAAACCAGGCCUGUGGGACAGAGCUGCAACUGACAAAGGACUCAGAAUCAGCUCUUGGCACGAAGCAAAGCACAAAUCUGAACUUAGAUGUGUCUGGGACAGAACAACACUUUUCUUUGUUUCGGGUGAGAUUUCAGCGUGCCAGUUGUACCACUACAGGCAGAAAACUGCACAGACCUCUCUGACCCCAGCAGCUCCAAGCAUGGCAAAGACAGAGAAAAUAAGAGGGAACUUGGGCCAUCAGAGAGGAAAGGCAAAACUUCACAUUGCCAAAAGACUUCAAUGCAGAACAAAGUUUUAUGAACCUAAAGACCAAGGUCGAUUGAAAAUCAGGAAUCAUUCAUGGAAAAUUAGCAAAUGUGACACACGCAGAGUGAAAUCUGCAUUAAGAACUGCCUCCAACUGGCAAGGCCCUAACCUGUGGGACAGUUUUAUUGGAUCUCCCAGGAUUACAGCAUAAUUUUCUUUGACAACUCGUUCACGAUCCAAACCGAGCAGAAACCCUUUCUGGGGGCAGCUCUGAGGCUGCCUGCUGUGUCAGGAUCUGUGAAAAAGAUCAAACCAGAACAAGCAGAAGGGAUUUUUCUGCUUUGUAGUGCAUGAGGAGGAACCAGGUGUGAGAUGGUGAGAGCACCAUGGCUCUGCUUCAGGCUCUGUAGCUCUUGUGUCCAGACACACAUGGGACCCCUCUCAACACCAGCUGGAGCUGAUGCCAGGCAGGAGGAGCAGAUGCUAACCCAGGACCAGGCCCGUGUGUUUCCAGACUCCGCCAUGCCUCAGGUACAUCCAAGGCACGGCGUCAAGGCUGAGCUCUUCCCACACCUCCGCCAUCUCUCCAGCACUCCUCGCUUUGUUUGACUGUUUAACCAAAAUCUUGGCCAGAAUAGAUCAUCAGAGCUGGCUCAGGGCCAAUGAAAAGCCUGGGAGAGUUCAUUCACAAUGUGGAAAAAG